rnacentral:rRNA from 1 species
GACGAACGCUGGCGGCGUGCUUAACACAUGCAAGUCGAACGGAAAGGCCCUGCUUGCCGGGUACUCGAGUGGCGAACGGGUGAGUAACACGUGGGUGAUCUGCCCUGCACUUCGGGAUAAGCCUGGGAAACUGGGUCUAAUACCGGAUAGGAGCCAUUUUUAGUGUGAUGGUUGGAAAGUUUUUUCGGUGUAGGAUGAGCUCGCGGCCUAUCAGCUUGUUGGUGGGGUAAUGGCCUACCAAGGCGGCGACGGGUAGCCGGCCUGAGAGGGUGGACGGCCACAUUGGGACUGAGAUACGGCCCAGACUCCUACGGGAGGCAGCAGUGGGGAAUAUUGCACAAUGGGCGCAAGCCUGAUGCAGCGACGCCGCGUGGGGGAUGACGGCCUUCGGGUUGUAAAUUCCUUUCGCUAGGGACGAAGCUUUUUGUGACGGUACCUAGAUAAGAAGCACCGGCUAACUACGUG